AUUCCGGUUGAUCCUGCCGGAGGACAUUGCUAUUGGGAUUCGAUUUAGCCAUGCUAGUCGAGCGAGUUUAGACUCGCGGCGAAUAGCUCAGUAACACGUGGCCAAGCUCCCCUUCAGUCAGCGAUACCCUCGGGAAACUGAGGUUAACAGCUGAUACAAAACGCCAGCUGGAAUGCGGCGUUUCAGAAAGACAUCGCUGAAGGAUGCGGCUGCGGCCGAUUAGGUAGACGGUGGGGUAACGGCCCACCGUGCCAGUAAUCGGUACGGGUGAUGAGAGUCAGAGCCCGGAGACGGAAUCUGAGACAAGAUUCCGGGCCCUACGGGGCGCAGCAGGCGCGAAACCUUUACACUGCACGGAAGUGCGAUAGGGGAAUCCCAAGUGCGAGGGCAUAUUAGCCCUCGCUUUUCUCGACUGUAAGGUGGUCGACGAAUAAGAGCUGGGCAAGACCGGUGCCAGCCGCCGCGGUAAUACCGGCAGCUCAAGUGAUGUCCCAUAUUAUUGGGCCUAAAGCGUCCGUAGCU
rnacentral:rRNA from 1 species